GAUGAAGAACGCAGCGAAAUGCGAUAAGUAGUGUGAAUUGCAGAAUUGAGUGAAUCAUCGAAUCUUUGAACGCACAUUGCGCCCCUUGGUAUUCCAUGGGGCAUGCCUGUUCGAGCGUCAUUUGUACCUUCAAGCUCUGCUUGGUGUUGGGUGUUUGUCUCGCCUCUGCGUGUAGACUCGCCUUAAAACAAUUGGCAGCCGGCGUAUUGAUUUCGGAGCGCAGUACAUCUCGCGCUUUGCACUCAUAACGACGACGUCCAAAAGUACAUUUUUACACUCUUGACCUCGGAUCAGGUAGGGAUACCCGCUGAACUUAAGCAUAUCAAUAAGCGGAGGA
rnacentral:misc_RNA from 1 species